rnacentral:rRNA from 1 species
AAAUGAAUAGACGGGGGCUCACACAAGCGGUGGAGCAUGUGGAUCAAUUCGAAGCAACGCGAAGAACCUUACCUGGGUUUGACAUGCACGGAUGGUCUCGGGGAAACCUGAGUAAUCUGCCUUCGGGUGAAACGUGCACAGGUGCUGCAUGGCUGUCGUCAGCUCGUGCUGUGAAGUGUCGGGUUAAGUCCCUUAACGAGCGGAACCCUUAUCGUUAGUUGCCAGCGGGUCAUGCCGGGAACUCUAACGAGACUGCCGGCGUUAAGCCGGAGGAAGGCGGGGACGACGUCAAGUCAUCAUGGCCUUUAUGCCCAGGGUGUCACACGUGCUACAAUGGGGUGUACAGAGCGAAGCAAAGCCGCAAGGUAGAGCAAAUCGCAGAAAACAUCCCUCAGUUCGGAUUGAGGUCUGCAACCCGACCUCAUGAAGCUGGAAUCGCUAGUAAUCGCGUAUCAGCCAUGACGCGGUGAAUAUGUUCCUGAGCCUUGUACACACCGCCCGU